UCUCCGUUGGUGAACCAGCGGAGGGAUCAUUACCGAGUUUUUCUACUCCCAAACCCCUGUGAACUUAUAUCUGUUGCUUCGGCGGCUCGCUCCCGGGCGAGCCCGCCGGUAAUAUCAGUAUCUCUGUUUGAACCUGACGAUACUUCUGAGUGUUCUUAGCGAACAGUUAAAACUUUUAACAACGGAUCUCUUGGCUCUA
rnacentral:misc_RNA from 1 species